rnacentral:rRNA from 1 species
UACGUAGGGGGCAAGCGUUGUCCGGAUUCAUUGGGCGUAAAGAGCGUGUAGGCGGCCAGGUAGGUCGGUUGUGAAAACUGGAGGCUCAACCUUCAGAGGUCGACCGAAACCAUCUGGCUAGAGUCCGGGAGAGGAGAGUGGAAUUCCUGGUGUAGCGGUGAAAUGCGCAGAUAUCAGGAGGAACACCAGCGGCGAAGGCGGCGCUCUGGGCUGGAACUGACGCUGAGGAGCGAAAGCGUGGGGAGCGAACAGG